GACAGAGGGUGCAAACGUUGCUCGGAAUUACUGGGCGUAAAGCGCGUGUAGGCGGUGCCGCACGUCCGAUGUGAAAGCCCGGGGCUCAACCCCGGACGUGCAUUGGAUACGACGGCGCUGGAGUCCUGAAGAGGAGGGCGGAAUUCCCGGUGUAGAGGUGGAAUGCGCAGAUAUCAGGAAGAACACCAACGGCGAAGGCAGCUCGCUGGGACGGUACUGACGCUGAGACGCGAAAGCGUGGGGAGCGAACAGG
rnacentral:rRNA from 1 species